UUUUCAGAUCAGGGGUGAGCGAUAGAGCUUUAAAAUAAUAUCAUUAUUAUUAUUUCAAGGAAAUUUGUGAAAUGAUAUUAUGUAUGGGGAAAAAAUAUUUUCCAUCCUUGUUUUACAGUGAGCUAAAGUGCCAGUUUUUCCUGGUACCCUUCUGGCUUCAACUUAGUUUUUGCAGCUUUUUUUUUUUUUUUUUUGGUAAUGUUAAAAAAAAAAGAAAAAAAAAAGAAAUGUUUAGUUGUUUUGCUUCUCAUUUCCUUCCUUCACCACGUGAACUACAGUAGAACCCAAAGGAAGAAGAUAAUAUCCCCUCUCUUAUAUUGUAGCCUGAAUAGUUAAACUUUGUGUUUUUCUUCCAUCUGUUGCAGCACAAACUGUAUCAUUAGUCAUUCAGGUCUUUAAACUGAAAGAUGGUUUGAUUUUCAUCCUUUGUGCAUCCAGAUUCUUUUGAGCCAUCUAUCAAUAUGAACAUCGUGUGCUGCUGCAGUAUAGCUCACUUUUGUCAACUACUGUAGGUUUUUUUUACAUAUAUCUAUUUGUGCCACAGACCAGAAUCUGUGGUAGUUUAAGAUGAAUUUUUAGCCGUUAUGAUCCCAACUCUCUGCAGAUGACCUUUACUUAACAAAAAAUACCAAACUUACACAAAGUUCGCCUAAAUACGGUGCAGUCUCAGAAGUGACCAGGAAAUGAGUUAACACUAUUAUUGUACCGAGAUUAAACGGCCGUCGCGGUACAGUUUCUUCUGCAAAUGACUUUUUCCUGUCGUGAAAAUGGCGACAGCAGCUGUGUCAGUGGUCUCAACAUAAUACCACAAAAAUACGUUUUUCCCUUUGCUGUCAUCUUAAAAGCAGCACUUUGCUCCCCCCGACCCUCCUGCCCUCUUCCCUGUCAUCUUCCUCUUUGCAGUCAGCAGCUGCGAGCGGAUCAGUCUGUUCUUUUUCAUUGGUUUUUUCUGUAAGAUACUGAGCUAUCCAAUGUAGCAUCUGCUGCUGACUAUUUGUUGACUGUUUUAAAGCAGUUUAUAUACUGCAGGUAUAGAGUCGCCAGUCUUUGCUGUUGCUGAUGUCUCCCCUAAAUUUCAGUUCAGGAUACACUGACUGCCACGUCUAUUUCCUGCAAUCUCUCUGCCAAGCAUCCCUCUUGGUCAAUUACUAGACACUAUUUAUUCAAGUUUGAAUUAAAGUCCUGCGGGCACACACUGGGAAAAAAUCACAGCACAAGCCGAUGCUUUAUGAAUUUCAAACUAGUCAUCACCUUUGAGUCUUCAUCUCAGGAUAGAAGUUGUGCUGAAUAAAUAAUAAUUAAAGCAUUUAGGGACACAAAUUAAAGUCAAAUUUUUGUCAAACAAAUAUUUUCCCUGACAGACCGCACAGCAUGUUCUUAUAUUCUCAGCAGCAGCACUAAGCACAGACGUGUAUUAUAAAACAAAACAUAAAAUACAUUUUUUAUGUAAUGUUCUGUAAGUUUCACUGUGAAGUUUGCAAAUUUGAUGGUGAAACAUUUCUCCCAUGAAAUGUGUCCCUCUGAUUUUGAUCAGUUUCUACUGUUUCAGUGUGCGUGGCUUUAAAUGCUCAUAAGCAGCUGCCUCCCACAUCGCUUAAUGCAGUCAUUAUGCCAAGAGGAAGUCAGGAGAAAUAGUCAUUACAGGACAAAACUCCAGUUUUAUGAGCUUGUGUGGCUGGUAAUGAAAUGUGGCGUCCUGGAGGAGCUGGACUACCUGUGCAGCUUGAAUGAGCUGCAGGUAACCUCUGUUGCUACGGUACUGACAAAGACAUGAGCAAAGAGCAUGAACUAGGAAAAAAGCAGUCAGUAGGGAGAAGGGGGCAGCAGGAGUCUGUGCACGCCACCUGCAAAACCUCUCUCUUUUUUGUGGGGGGGGGAUUGUGUCAUUGAUGCUUCUGCAGUGCACCUGUCAUCACUUUCAUUUGCACCCAAGCACUUAAAACUGAUUGAAAAUAGUUUCUGUUUUCUAACUCGAGAAGAUUGAUAUUCUUGAAGUUUUAUCUGACUAUGCUAUACCGUGAUGAUCGAGUGGUUGUCUAACUUUUUUCUAUUUUUCUCUGGCAUAUCAUUAGGGAAUGCUAAAGAAACUGCCAGAAACACAGCACACCAAGAGAUUUAAUGUUUGAACUUUUCAGCGCUUCUCGGCAUUGCAGAUUUUACACAUCUCUGGCCUCCUGCGAGAUCUAAGCAGCAACUAACAGUAACUGCAUAAAAUUCCUACUGACUGAAGCUGGACAUCAUCCAAGUAUUUUUGUUUUAAUCCCACGGAGACGUUGACCACAGGCAGGAUGGUUUGUGGUAUCCUUUAAUUUGUUUCCACUUGACUUUAUUUUUCUGAAAAACACACUGAAGAGGUUAAAUAGAGUGUAGCUGAUUGGUUGCAUUAGUCAGCGCCUUUGGUUUUUCUUGAUGUGGAUUUUUUUUAAAUGAUUAUUUCUUCUUGUUAAAAUUACACAUGGGUCUCUAACCACAAAAGGGAACUCAUGAAUUAGUUGUAAACAUUUCAUUUUGUGAAAUGCCAAGGGAAACAGGCCAGCAGUGUUUAUAUUUGAAUUUCAAAGUUUAAUACUCAGAAGGCAUCAAUACUCUUUUUCCCAGUUAUAUAAAAAAUAAAAACAAAACAGAGUUUAUAAAGUGACUGUCCAGAAUCAAAACUAUAUACUAAUACACCAGAAUAACUAUAUAAGCAAUCUACUGUCUGAGACUUGUGGUAAAUUCAAUUUUUAAAUGUAAAGAAUUGCAGAAGUUUGAAUCUUAAAAAUCUUAUGACUUUGUACACCACGAGGCACGAAGCAGCACAGAAAUUUAAUACAGCCUGAAAGCCCCUAAAAAGAUGCACAAAAGCUGAAUGAAAAACAAUAUACACUUGCAGAUAAUUAAACUUGCGUCAAGCUAAUUUAAUCACAGUUCAUUAUGUGCAUUAUAACACUGUCAACAUCCAGCAGUUUCCCUCAACACACUAUAAUUGAAAAAGAUUCGUGCGUGGAAUAAAUUCCCAAAUAAUUCAAAGUUAUUUGGAGUCAUGACAAAUUUUCUUGAUUUUUGUCUUGAUUGAGUGAGUAGAUGAAUUCAGCUGAGCACUUUACAGACGGUAAGCGCUGAUAAUGUCAGGAGAAUAAUUUCAUGGAGCUGUCCAGAGUUUCUUUUUUGUAAAUGUAGCCCACAGCAGGAGAUUUUCAUCAGAUGUGUUCUCACCUCUGGAAAAAGUCAGCUUAACUUUGGAGCUAAGAAGCUGUGUAGAGCAUGUAAGAGGCAGGAUGCGCAGCACCCACUCAUUUGCUGUAAAUUCCCAGAACUUUUGCCUUCUGUGUUCUCAGUUUGACCUUGCACUGACUUUGUACAAGGAAGCUGGCAGGGAGAAGAUCUUUUGACGCCUGAGCCGGGGCUACAGUGCAUGUGUGAAUAUAAUUUAAACAGCAAUGCUUCCUUCUGCAGGGUGAUUUUCAGUCUGACACUGUCUUUAAAUCAUAAUUUGUGCAUUGCGUUGUAUUUAGCAGUUGGUCUUGGGCCCCAGUUACCUCGGCAUAGCGGGAGGUUGGUAACUCCCUGAUAACCACUGGCUGCUAGGAAAAAAUGUGUAUUGCCAACCGGUUGGUGGCAGUCAGUAGGAAAAAGAGGUAUACAGUGAAAAAACAUUUAAAUUGAAUUGAAGUAAAUCAAAAUGGCAACUGCAAAUAUGCUUACCUUAAGGUUUAACAUUGGUGACAUCACAGUAACUACAUAAUCUUUUGACUGUCUGUGAGGCACAACCUUUACUCUGAAGGUGAACAGUCUACGUUUCCAGUUUACAUUCAAUUUUCUCUACUGCUCAGAGACUAGUUGACAAGUGUUUGCAGACAAGUUGGCGAUCUGCAAAGUAAUCACAAAGAGAUUCUUGGUGUAGCACCUGCUAACUGCUAGCAGCCACUUAACAAAAUGUCAGGGAAUACACAUUUCCCAUGGUUUCCAACCUAAGACCUCAAUCACACAUCUGUGAUUGAGGUCUUAAGUGUGUGAAUUAAAGUAUCUGUGCUGUAUAAAGUCUGUCUGGAGGAAGUGUUUCUUUUGACCUUUUUUCUUUGCUAGCCUACGUUAUUGGUAUUAGUUUGUUGGUUAAACCAAAGCUUUGCUGAAUGGGUAUCAGAAAGUCAAAUAGUUGCUGUGCAUGAGGUCCUUUGACAGCUUUUUUUGUGCCUUUACCGCAAAGUAAAAAAUAAAUUAAGGUGCUUAUGCAGCUAAUUAAAGCUUGCAUGAAGCACAAAUGGUGCUGACCUUGUGAUCAACGUUGCAGAAUUGAAGUUUUAUUUGAGAAAAA